AUCGCCAACAUGGCCACGUGCUAAACGUGUUUACGAGAAACUGUGUCAUCCUCCGUUAAUUUUUCUCGCUCGCGAUACCCGCGGAAGUGUUCAGACGCGAGAUUACGACGUCGAAGAAGCCUCACAAUGUCACACGUGCGUAUUGUCUGACAAUCGUCAACGCACUCCUCGUGGGCAUGGCCGGCGCGGAUGCACCCGUACCGAGGUGCACCUGCAACGUCGGGAACCUGGCUACCUGUUCUGCUGUCAACGAGGGUGCACCCACCAACCGAGCCAUGAGAAGUUACAGGCCGCACGGAAGCCUCGCCAGAGUACUGUACGACAAGCAGAGAGCCGAUGAACAACUGGAAGCUUACGACAAGACUCAGUGGUACACGGUUGAAAAGACGAAGAUUCGUGAGGACUUACUCCGUUUGUGGGUACCACUUGGAGCAGGAGCCCAGCAUGAUCAGCCCGACAAGACCGCCGAGGUGUUUCUAAUGAAAUCCAUCGAGAGAUCGGAUUCAUUACCGUUGCAGGCCUGGCAUUCGUUGGCGAGAUCCGCUUUAUCCUGGUUCAUCAGCCGCACUUCUAUAAAUGGGCUACUCGGCCGUGGUUCCAUGCACGUCUUCUCCUGCGAACAGUUUCAGAAGUUGAUGAAUGUGAGCGGUUUUUCGGGGCCGUGGCACUCGUUGGUGGAUCUAGGAGCUGGCGAUGGUGCCACCACCGCGCACGUUGCUAAUCUCUUCGAAAACGUUUACGCUACGGAUAUAUCAGCCCCGAUGAGAUGGGCUCUGGCGAAAAGGAAAUUCACGGUGCUCGAUGUGGAAAAAUGGCACGAGACAGGUCCGUACAAUGUAAUCCUCUGCCUGAACCUGUUGGAUCGCUGCGAUCGGCCUAACACCUUGCUACGGCAUCUGAAAUCGUGUUUGGCUCCAGGUGGCCGGCUGGUUGUAGCGUUGGUCCUUCCGUUCAGCCCCUACGUCGAGGUCGGCGAGAGGGGUGAUCACAAGCCAUCGGAGUACCUGCCGGUAAAGGGGAACGGGCUGGAAGGUCAAAUCGCCAGCAUCGUCGACAGAGUUUUCGCGCCGUUGGGUCUGAGAUGCCUCGUGUGGAGCAAACUGCCGUAUCUGUGCGAGGGUGAUCUCGGCCAGGCGUAUUACUUCCUCGACGAUGUAGUGUUCGUUCUAGAGGCACAGCCCGAAAGCUCGCGAUACUCGGCCUCCGAAUGGACGGACACGGGUCCGACUGGACAGGGCGCGGAGCGAGGACAGGCUACUGAUGGUCACGUUCAACAGGAAUACAAUACAGAUGCCAAACGUUGCACAAUUUGUAACAUUCUGUGCGCCCAAUGUGGAUAAAGCCCGUUAACAGAAACCACGACCUGUGCCACUGCUUUGUCCUAAUAUCAAGCGUAAUCAGAAAACACUGCACAGUAACCGUAGAAUCGUUUUGCCCCUAACAUUAUCAGCAGACAGAUGAAAUUUAACCUGACACUUGAUACAGGAAUAUGCGGAGGUGGCAGGAAACUUCUUAGCGACUGUACAAGCUGUAUCGUAUCCACCAACGCUGCGAACAAAGCCAACGAGAAA